AAUGAAUGUAAAUUACAAAAGUGCUUAAAAUAGAACCCUCAUCAAUUUUACGUUCACUUAUUUUAAAGGUUUUCUUCUCCUAAGCGACAGUCACUAUGCAUCUGACAUUACAGUUCAGCUACAUCUCUCAGCAUCCCUGAAAAACCACAUCUGCCUUGCUGGGAGAUGUAGUUCAAGAAUAGCUGAAGGGUCACAGUUUAACUUGACUUUGUUAUGAUUUAUAUUCUAGGGUGAGCAUAAAAAUACAUAUAUACAAAUUUGCUUCUAAACGAAUACAGUGCCGUGUAUUAAAGGGUAGGUAUAACAUACUCAGUUGGUGGAACAGUAUUUUAAAGGGUAGGUAUAACAUGCUCAGUAGGUAGACAGUGUAUUAAAGGGUAGGUAUAACAUACUCAGUUGGUGGAAUAGUAUAUUAAAGGGUAGGUAUAACAUACUCAGUUGGUAGACAGUGUAUUAAAGGGUAGGUAUAACAUACUCAGUUGGUGGAAUAGUAUAUUAAAGGGUCGGUAUAACAUACUCAGGUGGUAGACAAUGUAUUAAAGGGUAGGUAUAACAUACUCAGUUGGUGGAACAGUACAUUAAAGGGUAGGUAUAACAUACUCAGUUGGUAGACAGUGUAUUAAAGGGUAGGUAUAACAUACUCAGUUACUGGAUUAGUACAGGCAUAAAAUACUUGCAGGUUACUGGAUCAGUAUGUUAAAAGUUAGAAAUAACAUGCUAAAUGAGAUCAGUACAUUUAAUGGUAGGCACUCCUUGAGCUGCUGGACCACUAUACAAUAGGUAACCCAAAAUCACGGGGCACAGGCUAGUAUGAAUUCUAAUUGUAAGGAUGCUUUUAGUCAUUUGCAAUUAACAUAACCAUAUCAUAUUAUUACAUAAAAUAACAUAAUUAUCUGUAUCCCGGGCUUUGGUGGAGAAUGCGGGGAGAUGGAGUUCGGCAAAUGGGCUAAGUGCUUAGACUGAAGACUUUAUAUAUAUAUAUAUAUAUAUAUCUAUAUCUAUAUCUAUAUAUAUAUAUAUAUAUGGUACUAGGCUGAAUAAUGUAACUACAAGUACAUACGCUUUAAAUACUGUUCUGAAUCUCAGCAACUAUGUAACUAUAUAACAAAUUAGGAUAGUAAGUGUAAUUGAGUAUUUACUCACUCGGUGCAUGACUUGAAUGGAGGUGAUGGGUUUCAGCUCCAAGUGAUUCUAUGUAGGAGUGGUCUGUACUAGUAGUAGAGUCUAGAUAGGAGUGUUCAAAGCAAGCAGUAGCUUGUACAUAGGAUUGGACUGCAGUCAACCUGGAGUGGCUUCAUGGGAUUGUUCCAAGCGCUUAGUGGAGUCAACAUGGGGUUGCUGCAAGGUAUACGAUUGUUCCAGGAGAGAAGUGGACUCUAGAUGGAGUAGCUAAAUAGGUUUGUUCCUGGAGAGUGGGGCUUUAUCAUGGGAUCAUUAAAUUAAUACACAUCAUAUACACAUCAUAAGAGUUGUUUAGUAGUGUAAGCAAAACGCACAAUGUCAUAGGAUGGAUUAAAGCUCUAUAAACAAUAUACAGUACAGUAGGGUGAAUAUAAAAUUCAUGGUGUCCACAGGAUGGCUCACAUCAUAUUGCACAUUUAGAAUAUAUUUGGCAUCUAGUCAAAAGGUUUCCUUUGAGGUCAGACAUUUAUGGCAUCACAAAUAAAUAAACUACAUGUAGGAUUCCCUCGGUUUCUCUAUAUAUUAUAAAUAUGCAUAUAUAUAUUUAAAUCUUAUCAACAAACACUAUAUACAAGUGGACAUGCGAGGGACAACAACGAAUGACAUAAAACACCCGUUGUGGAGGAUUUGUACAGUACAGGGUUUUAGUGUUAGUCACAUGAUAGUGUGUGUAAUUGUAUUUCACUGUGAUAACGGCGGUACU